GGUAAAACUGUUGGUUGUCUGAGUACCCCACUCUGCCAAAGCGUCUUCCAAGGAACCACUGCCAAAGCGGAGUGUGCUGGAAAAGCGUGAAAUGUGCUCCCACAGAACCAUGGCUGUCCAUAAAGGACAACACUGAAUCAGAACAACCGAAGAGCCCUUUAUCAAGACCAGUUCCUUUGAAAGAGUUUGACAUCCCAGGAUGACACAGAAGCUAAAGUGGAGAAUGCAGAGACUGAAGAGUUUUGUGACAGGGAGAUGGAGAGCAAUAUCUGUAGAAAGAUAUAGUGGAGACAACCUACAUCAAGAACAAGGUCACCUUCUGGCAGCUCCACAACCCUCAAGACUCUUGUUCAACCAAUACCCACAGACAGCCAAUGAAUGGAGAGUACACUUCUAGAUCAAUUCCAUUACAGUUGGAGCCCCUUGGUGGUCAUCAUGGAUCCUGGAACAAAUGAUGGGG